rnacentral:rRNA from 2 species
UUUAUAUGAGAGUUUGAUCCUGGCUCAGGAUGAACGCCGGCGGUGUGCCUAAUACAUGCAAGUCGUACGCACUGGCCCAACUGAUUGAUGGUGCUUGCACCUGAUUGACGAUGGAUCACCAGUGAGUGGCGGACGGGUGAGUAACACGUAGGUAACCUGCCCCGGAGCGGGGGAUAACAUUUGGAAACAGAUGCUAAUACCGCAUAACAACAAAAGCCACAUGGCUUUUGUUUGAAAGAUGGCUUUGGCUAUCACUCUGGGAUGGACCUGCGGUGCAUUAGCUAGUUGGUAAGGUAACGGCUUACCAAGGCGAUGAUGCAUAGCCGAGUUGAGAGACUGAUCGGCCACAAUGGAACUGAGACACGGUCCAUACUCCUACGGGAGGCAGCAGUAGGGAAUCUUCCACAAUGGGCGCAAGCCUGAUGGAGCAACACCGCGUGAGUGAAGAAGGGUUUCGGCUCGUAAAGCUCUGUUGUUGGAGAAGAACGUGCGUGAGAGUAACUGUUCACGCAGUGACGGUAUCCAACCAGAAAGUCACGGCUAACUACGUGCCAGCAGCCGCGGUAAUACGUAGGUGGCAAGCGUUAUCCGGAUUUAUUGGGCGUAAAGCGAGCGCAGGCGGUUGCUUAGGUCUGAUGUGAAAGCCUUCGGCUUAACCGAAGAAGUGCAUCGGAAACCGGGCGACUUGAGUGCAGAAGAGGACAGUGGAACUCCAUGUGUAGCGGUGGAAUGCGUAGAUAUAUGGAAGAACACCAGUGGCGAAGGCGGCUGUCUGGUCUGCAACUGACGCUGAGGCUCGAAAGCAUGGGUAGCGAACAGGAUUAGAUACCCUGGUAGUCCAUGCCGUAAACGAUGAGUGCUAGGUGUUGGAGGGUUUCCGCCCUUCAGUGCCGGAGCUAACGCAUUAAGCACUCCGCCUGGGGAGUACGACCGCAAGGUUGAAACUCAAAGGAAUUGACGGGGGCCCGCACAAGCGGUGGAGCAUGUGGUUUAAUUCGAAGCUACGCGAAGAACCUUACCAGGUCUUGACAUCUUGCGCUAACCUUAGAGAUAAGGCGUUCCCUUCGGGGACGCAAUGACAGGUGGUGCAUGGUCGUCGUCAGCUCGUGUCGUGAGAUGUUGGGUUAAGUCCCGCAACGAGCGCAACCCUUGUUACUAGUUGCCAGCAUUAAGUUGGGCACUCUAGUGAGACUGCCGGUGACAAACCGGAGGAAGGUGGGGACGACGUCAGAUCAUCAUGCCCCUUAUGACCUGGGCUACACACGUGCUACAAUGGACGGUACAACGAGUCGCAAGCUCGCGAGAGUAAGCUAAUCUCUUAAAGCCGUUCUCAGUUCGGACUGUAGGCUGCAACUCGCCUACACGAAGUCGGAAUCGCUAGUAAUCGCGGAUCAGCAUGCCGCGGUGAAUACGUUCCCGGGCCUUGUACACACCGCCCGUCACACCAUG